AAACAAAAGAAGCUCCGACUCCUCCAACCCACCCUUCGGACCCGCACCCCGCGGGGACUCUCCAGAUGCGGGUGUCCACUCCCCCGCCAGCCCUACUUACUCCUCAACGCCCCAAUGAGCAGAGAGCCGUCCUUAAUGAGCUCCUUGAUGAACUUGUUGGUUCGCUCCAGCUCAAUCUCGUGACACUGCAAGCGCUCCCUGAAAUCUGGGCUGUCCAAGUAGGAAUCGCUGAACUCCAGAGUGGGCAGCCCCAUGGCACAGGCGCUGCCAGCGGCGGCCGCGGACACGUCCGGGCCGGAGGUCAGGGCGGGGGCAGCCGGCGGCCGCGGCGGGCGCUGGGGUCGCGCGAUCGCGGGGAAGGCGCCGGGACGCGAGGGGACUGAUUGCGCGGAGGAAACGGGCCCCGAGCGCCGCGCCGCCUGCGCCGGGCUCAGUCUUCCUCCCCCGAGGCUAGGCGAGCGCAGGCGCGGGCGGCGGGCCGAGGCGCGAGUCCCCUCAGGUUGUUGUCAUCUGGACGCAUCGUCGUUCGGAACGCGGGGGCGGCGAGGCUCCGGGCCGCGGCCGGAGCAGGAAAGUUUCUCUCACGGCGCGCAGACACUUCCGGCAGUUCCACUCCCCAACUCUCUUGACAGUCGUCGGCGUUGUGAGCCAGAAGCAGCGCACAGCCGCAACUCCGGCCGGGCUGGGGAAACCCUCCCCCUCGGCGGACGCAGGCUCAGAGCGCUUGCAAAUCGCACCCGGGCUCCCAGACCCUCCUCCCCGCCGCCGCGCUCCCACCCAGCGCCACCCCGCCCCUUCGCCCCUUUGCCCUCCUGCCCCACCCGUCCGCCCGCACUGGGCUCCAGGGCUCCCCGCGCUGCAGCCCCGCGCUUGCGCUCCGGCCUUGGCUGGGGUGUUAGCCCUGUCCCCUCUUGGGCCCCUGGUUUCGGCUAGCCCUUGGUGACACUUCGGGGUCCCUCGCUCCACAAAAGGAUCUGACUCCCAAUAUACCUCCCCUAACAGUGUCCCCUCCACCCACUCCCUACAAUUCUCUGGGAGAAAAACCAACGUUAAGUUUCCCUAAAGUCUGAGUAUUUUGAAGCGUAGAUGGAAGAUACUACUGUCUAGCGUUCGUUUAGAUUUUACUUCACACUUCCCCACCGAAUGCAUUUGAAUUCCACGUUGAAAAAUUGUCCCGUCGCUCUCCCACCCCUCAGCUUCAAUGAUCCAGCCUGGAGGUGUUUCUUCCCCCUGCCCCCACUCCAUAGCUGGGAAGGUGGGACGAUUUUUCAAGUCAUCCUCACUCUGCUUACGUGCUCCUACUUCUAGUAGAAUACCUAUUUGCAUCACAAUAGUAGUAUCUCCUAUUGGCACCUGGAUGGAAUUGUCCUAGGAGCGGGAAAAUUUUCAAAUUGUUGAAGUGGACUGGAGUUUGAAAUAAAUAGUUAACUCCUACCCACAGGCUUUAUCCUUCCUCCGGUGGAGGUUCACCUAAUAAAUUUCUGUUCUCUUAAAACCUUGACAGCAAAAGAAACGACUGCUUUACAUCUCGUCCUGACAUCAUCUAUAGGAUUUCUGAGAACUCGGAUAUUGUUCUUAAGGAUCUGCUUUUAAUUUCUGCAUUUUCAUUGCUUUGUCCAUAUGAACCAUCUGUUUAAAAACUAUUCUACAGAUCAUGGGAAAAAUUCCACUAAAGUGCUUUACAUUUUUCCCAAUUAAGUUUCAGAGCCAGUCAAGAUUCUUGGUUUCAAUUUUUUAAAUGUACAGGAACAUUAAAAAUAACAUGUAAACCUAAAACAGAUAAGAUAAUGUAAACAGUAUGGGCCAGGCGCAGUGACUUAACGCCUGUAAUACCAGCAUUCUGGGAGGCUGAUGCAGGAGAAUCACUUGAGGUCAGGAGUUGGAGACCAUACUGGCCAACACGGUGAAACCCAGUUUCUACUAAAAAAUACAAAAAUUAGCUGGGCCUGGUGGCGCACGCCUGUAGUCCCAGCUACUUGGGAGGCUGAGGCAGGAGAGUCACUGGAAUCCGGGAGGCGGCGAUUGCCAUGAGCCGAGAUUACGAGAUUACUCCACCGCACUCCAGCCUGAGUGACAGAACGACUCCAUCUCAAAACACCUUCCAUCCAUAUUCACAUCUUUGGCCCCAUAUUGGCAAAAUGACCAGUCACUAUUAGAGCCAUUUUAACUCCAAGUGUUAAAUUUGUUUUUGUUAACUAAAUACUCUUCAAUUUUUUUUUUCUUUUGCAGGUUUGGGGAAGGGAGAGGCAGUAAUUCUGUUUGUCAGUUAAUGAAAUGACAUGACAUAAACACCAGUGGACUGUGUCUCACCAGAGGUGAUUUUGUAUUUACUCAUUACUCUGCCUGAAAGACAAAAAAUCACCCAGGCCAAACAGUUUCCUUUCAACUUUUGCCAUGUUGCUGUUCCUAUCAACUGAAUCCAGUGCCAAACUGCUGAGAUACGAAACGAUAAAAUAUAACAUUCUCUUCUUGUUUUUCAUUAAAUCAUCGUACUGUGAUUAAGUCUUUAAAAAUGCAUCAUUGGUGUUUCAUAAGUUGCAUUUAAUAUGUUGGAUGUCAAUGUUUAGUUUUCUUUAAAAGUGUUACAUGCCAGGGCAGAUGUAUUGUACAUUCUAUGAUACAGGUUAUCAUUUGCCCAUUCAUGUAUGUAAUGAUAUGUUUUAUGUCUACUGUCUACAUUACUAAGGUCUGGGUGGGGAAGUGAUUUCUAUAAAAAGACAGAAGCAUUAUCCGUGACCUCAAGCAGUUCUCAGAAAAAGGAAAUGUGGAAAAUAAGUACCCAUAAAGCAUAAGGCAGAAUAUGCUGUGUUCCACAGCCUCACACAGAUGCUGUACUAAUAAUACAUUGAUGCUAUUGUUUAUCAAUAUGUUUCCACUCAGGCCCAUCAUUGCAUUUACAUGGAAUUAGGAUUUUUUCUCCUACCCUUCACUCAUGAUUCCCUAAAGUUUAUCAUGUUAUAAUGGGCUUAUUUCUUGUAGGUGUUUUCAUAGUUACUCAUGCUUAUUCCUAUGAUUCAUACUUUAAUUAUACCUGCUAGUCAGGCUUUCUCUUAUGCCACAUUAACACAGCUACUUGAGAAAAACCAGAAAUGCUUUUGCUUUGAGGUGGGUUUACUGUCGGUUUUGAACUGUUGUUUCCAUGCAUGAUUCUCUCCAUCAUAAUUAACUGAACCAGAUUCUUUCCUAGAGAAUAGACUUUCUAUAUAAAAGAUCAGCAAUACCUGCAAGCCUGUUUUCAUAAACAAAUGUAAUGGAUUGAAAUAUAGCCUGUCCAGAAAUUUCCACUUCAUAACACAUGACACCGUAAGCUGCGUGGUAAGCUUCGCAAAUAUUAUUGGCUGACAGGCUCUUUGGCACAGAGAAAUGUCUCUUUGUUUUCCUGAUUCUGGAAUGGGAUAUGUGGGCUUUGUUUACUUGCUUUUGAGAGCAAAUAGAUAGUAGAGGAUAGUAAACUAAUAUGGCAUUUGUAAAUCUGCCUAAAACUGUUUCUUGACGUAGAUCAUGUCUGACACUUAAGCCUGGCACUUCGUAUGUACUCAGUAAGUGUUAUUGUCAAGCUAUUAUUACUUUUCAAUUAAUUAUGUAGAUUUAGACCACCCAGACUCAGCUGAUCUGAGGUUAAGUUCAAGCCUGGUAAGAGAUGACUAAACAGAAACCAAGUGUUUCUUCUUGGUUUCCCCUCCUCCCAGCUCCUGGUAACCAUUGUACUUUCUGUCUCUAUGAAUUUGACAAUGUAGGUAUCUCAUAUAAAUGAAAUUAUACAAUAUUUGCACAAUGUGUCUGUCUUAUUUCACUUAGAUGAUUCAGUCAUCAAAAAGAGAAG
rnacentral:lncRNA from 1 species